CAUUUGGAUGUGUAUAUAAAUAAUUUGUGAAUAAGAAGAAGAGAAGCAGAAACUAGAGAGAAAAGAAAAAAGAAAGAAAGAAAAGCGUGGGGAGAAUGGUGAGUGAAGUAGUAGCAGAAAGAAAGAUCCAUAUCACAACACUUGUACGGCUACUUGAAGAAGAUCCAUAUCUUGUCCAUGGAAUCUCGUUUCCAUGUUCGAGAAAUCUUCUACACAUAGCGGCAAUGCAUGGACAAACAUCCAUCGUUGAAGUGGUCGUUAACCUCACCCGCAGCUAGCUUGGAUUUUAGACUCCCAAAAGUUGUCGCCAUGAAAGGGCACGUUGAGAUUUGUCAAAAGCUGUUAUCAGUAGCCCCAGAGGCUUGCUGGUAGCGAGACUGUCAUGAUAUGAACCCGGUUCAUAUUGCGGCCAUGUUGAGAUCCUGGAAAGUCUCUUUCAAGAGAGUCUUUCGCCUGCUAUGGAGAGGGUGCAUCGCAGAGAGACCGUGCUGCACUUGUGCGUGAAACACGGCCAGCUUAGGACUUUGAAGGUUUUGGUAGAGAAGUUGGGAGAAGAGCUUGUGCAUGCUAUUAGACAAUUAUGCAUUUGGCUGUGAGGUACAACCAAUUUGAGACUGUACAAUAUUUGGUGGAAAACAUCGAAAUAAAGAGCCAAACAUUGAAUUCCAUGGGCAACACAAAUCUUGAAUGAUUCCCCUUGGAACAUAACAGCGAGUUAUUAUGAAAUCAAAAGAGUCUUGUCAAGUUUGAAAGUAGCACCAGUUCACAGUAUGAUGUUGACAGCAUCGAUAGCAUUCCAGAGCACGGUGAACCCACCUGGCGGCGUGUGGCAGGAUGACACGCCAUCACACAAGGCAGGUGAGGCUGUGAUCGCAUACACUCAUCGCCACAUAUACGAUUAUGUGCUAGAACUGAACGUGUUAACGUUCUGUUCAUCCAUCAUCGCACUGACAGUGAACGCCGAUAGCAAAUCUGAUAUGACUUACCUGAGGAUGGGUUGGUCUGCUAUGAAUUUGGCGGUGCUAGCUAUCAUGUUGUGUUAUGCUACAUCGAUAGCUGUGAUCACUCCAGACCCGAUAGAAAAAUCAUUCGAACUCGCCAUCUACAUUGAUGUUAUCUUAUUAAGGAUUUGGUACUGUAGCAUAAGUUACCAGGGAAUAUUUCAUCCUCUACGAGUGUGUUAUUUCAUCUGGAAGAGAAAAACAAGGCGUGCAGAUCAUCUUACUACAGAUCCUAUACACAAACGCAUCCUUUAUCGUAUCUUCCAACGUUUGGAGACGUGGUGGCUUCGUUGGGGACCCAUUCUCAAUUUCUUAUUCUGAAUGUUCCGUAUACUUACCUAUGCUUUAAUUAUUCCACAUCUUUGUAUUUUUCACUUUGACGAAGGAAUAGCUGGAAUAAGAUUUAUUUUUCGCUUAGUACAGGUUGACUUGUUAUUGUAUCAACGACACAAAACCAUUAAUAAAGGAACCAUGGUCUUUUCAGAUAUCUCGGCCUUGCAAACAGAGCACUGUGGACACUCAUCUGGACCAAGGGAAGAGCUUUCAUGGACAUUAUCAUGACUAUUCUUCUUCCUCCACUCGGUGUUUUCCUCAAGUUUGGUUUGGGGUACUUCUAUUUCUCUUUCUAAUUAAAAUUCUUUUCUUUAAUUUGAUAGUAUACAAUUACUAUAAUAUUUAUAUUUGAUUUUGGUGAAAUUAAUAGGUUGAGUUUUGGAUUUGCUCCUUAUUGACGCUUCUUUUAGUUACAUUAAUGGAAUCAUUUAUGCUAUAUAUAUUCUCACCCAGUAGACAUAUUCACCUCCCUCCCUCAUUCUCAGGUAAAUAAAUACUUUUAUUCUCUAUUUCUCACUUUGAUUGAUGUUAAUUUGUAGUCACUACAACUUUAUCUUCUUGAUUUGGAUGGCUAGGGAAGCCUCCACAAAAUUAUGUGGUGUUAAUUGUCCGAUUGUGUACUUUCAUGGGUCUUAUACAUCUUAUGCUUUGCUCUACAGAUGAUCGUUUUAAUACAUAUUGAUUAUUGAUUUUGUUCUUUAUUUUAUUGUAGUUUUAGGUGAGACAGACGAACUUCACCUACGAGUUCUGUUGAAGAGUAACGAAUUGUGAAGAAUUGAAGGUUUUAGUUUAUAAUGAUGCGAUUGAUUUUAAUUUUAAAGUUAAUGUAGUGUAUAAAGAAGGUUUAAAAACGAUGAGUAAUUAUCCAUUGUAUUUAAUUCUUUAUUGUGAUAGAUUUUUAUCUUUCUACUCCA